AGGCUACGAGGCCUUAAAUAUGCUUUUAGAAGUGGUUUGGGACUAAACCGAUAACAUAUAAAAAAUUUGGAAACAUAGAAAAAUCUCAACUAUACAGGGUCACACGCCCGUGUGAACAGACCGUGUGCCUCACACAGCUCUAGACACACCCAUGUCUUAGGCCGUGUCGAAAUAGGGCAUAUAUAUUGACCUGCAUCACAC
rnacentral:lncRNA from 1 species